rnacentral:rRNA from 1 species
AUACGGAGGAUCCGAGCGUUAUCCGGAUUUAUUGGGUUUAAAGGGUGCGCAGGCGGCCAUUUAAGUCAGCGGUUAAAUCGUGGGGCUCAACCCCAUUCUGCCGUUGAUACUGGGUGGCUUGAUUGCGGUCGAGGUUGGCGGAAUUCGUUGUGUAGCGGUGAAAUGCAUAGAUAUGACGAAGAACACCGAUUGCGUAGGCAGCUGACCAGAUCGCAAAUGACGCUCAUGCACGAAAGUGCGGGGAUCGAACAGGAUUAGAUACCCUGGUAGUCCGCACAGUAAACGAUGAAUACUUGUUUUCGGCGAUAUAAUGUCGGAGGCGAAGCGAAAGCGAUAAGUAUUC